rnacentral:rRNA from 1 species
UGGGGAAUAUUGCACAAUGGAGGGAACUCUGAUGCAGCGACGCCGCGUGAACGAAGAAGGCUUUCGAGUCGUAAAGUUCUUUUAUAUGGGAAGAUAAUGACGGUACCAUAAGAAAAAGCCCCGGCUAACUACGUGCCAGCAGCCGCGGUAAUACGUAGGGGGCUAGCGUUGUCCGGAAUCACUGGGCGUAAAGGGUUCGCAGGCGGAAAUGCAAGUCAGGUGUAAAAGGCAGUAGCUUAACUACUGUAAGCAUUUGAAACUGCAUAUCUUGAGAAGAGUAGAGGUAAGUGGAAUUUUUAGUGUAGCGGUGAAAUGCGUAGAUAUUAAAAAGACUACCGGUGGCGAAGGCGACUUACUGGGCUCAUUCUGACGCUGAGGAACGAAAGCGUGGGUAGCAAACAGG